rnacentral:rRNA from 1 species
AGUAGGUAGCUUAACCUUCGGGAGGGCGCUUACCACUUUGUGAUUCAUGACUGGGGUGAAGUCGUAACAAGGUAACCGUAGGGGAACCUGCGGUUGGAUCACCUCCUUACCAAAAAGAUGUGUGUUGAGUGAAGUGCUCACACAGAUUGUCUGAUGAA